ensembl:miRNA
UAUCGUUUGCUACUUGAAGAGAGGUUAUCCUUUGUGUGUUUGCUUUACGCGAAAUGAAUAUGCAAGGGCAAGCUCUCUUCGAGGAGCAAA